rnacentral:rRNA from 1 species
AAGUCGUAACAAGGUUUCCGUAGGUGAACCUGCGGAAGGAUCAUUACAGUAGUCAUCCGGGUUGCCGCAAGGCCUCCCGGGUAACCUACCACCCUUUGUUUAUUACACUUUGUUGCUUUGGCAGGCCUGCCCUCGGGCUGCUGGCUCCGGCCGGCGAGCGCUUGCCAGAGGACCUAAACUCUGUUUGUCUAUAUCGUCUGAGUACUAUAUAAUAGUUAAAACUUUCAACAACGGAUCUCUUGGUUCUGGCAUCGAUGAAGAACGCAGCGAAAUGCGAUAAGUAAUGUGAAUUGCAGAAUUCAGUGAAUCAUCGAAUCUUUGAACGCACAUUGCGCCCCCUGGUAUUCCGGGGGGCAUGCCUGUCCGAGCGUCAUUACAACCCUCAAGCUCAGCUUGGUGUUGGGCCCCGCCGCCCCGGCAGGCCCUAAAGUCAGUGGCGGUGCCGUCCGGCUCCGAGCGUAGUAAUUCUUCUCGCUCUGGAGGUCCGGUCGUGUGCUCGCCAGCAACCCCCAAUUUUUUUCAGGUUGACCUCGGAUCAGGUAGGGAUACCCGCUGAACUUAA